rnacentral:rRNA from 1 species
UACAGAGGUCCCAAGCGUUGUUCGGAUUCAUUGGGCGUAAAGGGUGCGUAGGCGGCGCGGUAAGUCGGGUGUGAAAGCCCGGGGCUCAACCCCGGGUCGGCCAUGCGAACUGCCCGACUAGAGCACGGUAGAGGCCAAUGGAAUUCCGGGUGUAGCGGUGGAAUGCGUAGAGAUCCGGAAGAACACCGGUGGCGAAGGCGGUUGGCUGGGCCGUGGCUGACACUGAUGCGCGACAGCGGUGGGGAGCAAACAGG